UAUUUAAUAUUUAGUACAUGUCUGACCUGGUGGGGAUUAGGAAUGAAUGAGGACAAGGUACUUGAGCUCUAAUGGGGAGCAAAGACAAAAAAGUUCUAAAAAGGAAAGGGAAGGGGGAAAAAAAAAAAAAAACCUCAGUUAGUGAAAGGUACUAUAAUGAAAAGCCAGGUGGCUGGGGUAGCAGUGAUUGACGAGGUGAAGAGUAUUUGAGUAGUUAGGGAGGUCCUCUGGACACAGAUACAAAUGAUGGGAGGGCCUCUGCUGCAGAGAUUACUGCUUCAGGCCUAUCAGAGAUGCAUUUCAUAUUGAGAUUUCUGGUUGUGUCUACCCCAUGCCUCUCUUCCUCAUUCUUUUUAUAAAUUGAGGCUAAGUUAGGCUCAAUAGUAUUUGAUUUUGCUGUAUAAAAUUGAAGCAAGAAGUAUCACCUCGUCAUUUAUCAUUAAUAUGGAAAUUACCCCAUUACUUCAGGUAGAUAACAAAAGCUUGUAGGAAUUCAAAAUCAGCUCUCUUAAUUUUGAAUUUAAAAUUACAUUUUCGUUGUGCGCAGUGGCACAUGUCUGUAAUCCCAGCAGUUUGGGUGGCUGGGGCAGGAGGAUCACAAGUUCAAAGCCAGCCUCAGCAAUUUAUCAAGGCCUUAAAGCAACUUAGACCUUACCUCUAAAUGAAAUAUAAGAAGGGCUGGGGAUGUGGUUCAGUGAUUAAGUGCCUCUCGGUUCAAUCCCUGGUACCAAAAUAUCAAAACCAAAAAACUUUAUUUUCAUUAGGACUAGGUGAUACCAUAAUAGUAGGAUCCACCACUACUGUUUAUUAUUUAAAAUCCUGAUUAAUAGUGGAAAUUGGGGAUGAGUUAAUUUUAGGGCCUGACACAAGUUGUU
rnacentral:lncRNA from 1 species